rnacentral:lncRNA from 1 species
GAUAAGUUCACAGCAUAAUGAACCUUUCUUUUUUUUUAUUAGACUAUGAUUUUAUCACAUAAGUGGUAGGUUACAGGAUUAUUCAAUAAACGGUGAAUUGUCAAAAAUGUAGGCCUCGAUUUAAUAAGAUUUCCAAAUGAUUCAAUACCGCUAGAAAAGAUUUCCAAAUGAUUCAAUACCGCUAGAAAAGAUUUCCAAAUGAUUCAAUACUGCUAGAAAAGAUUUCCAAAUGAUUCAAUACUGCUAGAAAAGAUUUCCAAAUGAUUCAAUACCCCUAGAAAAGAUUUCCAAAUGAUUCAAUACUGCUAGAAAAGAUUUCCAAAUGAUUCAAUACCGCUAGAAAAGAUUUCCAAAUGAUUCAAUACCCCUAGAAAUGAUUUCCAAAUGAUUCAAUACCCCUUGAAAUGAUUUCCAAAUGAUUCAAUACCGCUAGAAAAGAUUUCCAAAUGAUUCAGUACUGCUAGAAAAGAUUUCCAAAUGAUUCAAUACCCCUAGAAAUGAUUUCCAAAUGAUUUAGCUACAGAAGUCACCAUUAAAGUCUAUGGGAGUUUUUGUAGAUAAAUCGUUUGGAAAGUUUUCCUAACAGAAUGUGAAUUCCAAGUGAAUUUCUGAUUUUUGGCCAAAAUAAUCAAACUGAAAACAUAGCUGACUUUCCCAUUCAGUUACUUUUUCCUUACAAUCUGACAAUCGCUUUGGAUUUUGAGACAAUCCACACUUUAGUGAAUAAUUCUAAUAGUUUAAUUACGUUCCUCAGUCAUUAAAUAGUGUAGUGUGGACCCUACCAUUUACAUAUAAAAACAUUUAUUAGUAGGUUACAUAUAUCUACCCCCAACCAAAACUUACCUAGAGAUUCUAAACACAUUUUAAGGGUCACUUUACGUCUGAUAAUAUAUAGUCAUUGCCAAUAUUAUGGUGCAAAAAGGUCCUCUGGUGUUGUUCCAAUGCAGAUUUUCUUGCAAAUGCAGCAGUUUACAAAAAUGUAUAAGACUCCUCCUUCAGUAACUGAUGUCAAAGGAAUAAUUUAUACUUCCUUCUUUGUUUUACAAAUAUGUCCAACUUUCUAGCACAGUUGUAAGAACACUGUGCACAACCAUUUAACGAAGUUAUGAUUAGGGCUGUUCAUAGGAUGAUAGCAGCUGCCAUACGACUACAAUCAGCUUAUAUACUAGUUCCACCCAUCAGAUGUGGACUGUUGGCUGGAAUGCAUAUCCUAUAUAUAACGGCUAGAAAGGUUUGCGGUAUGCAAUCAGACCUCUGGAAGGUACUCUUCUACUGCUGGUUCCUUGGAUUUGCAGCAAAAGUAAUUGCAUUAAAAAAUUAUGUUACUUCCAGUUUGGAGUGUCCUUUUAAUUGACAAGCACUAUACUUGUUGCAAUAAUUAAAUACGUAUUAGUACAUUGAAUUUUUAAUUUUUUUAAUUAAAAGGACAUUCUAGGCACCAUAACAAUUUAAUGUUAUUGCAGUGAUAUGUCAUUAUGACAGUGGCAUACCACUGUCCAAAAGUCUCCAGUCACCAUAAUCCCUGCAAUUACAUGAAGUUGUUAUGGUUCUUAGAAUGUCUUGUCAAUAAAAAGAAAAAAAAUCAAUGUACUGAUACCUAUUUACCUACUGUUUUUGAAUAGUUUAUCAUUGAAUUAAGGUCCCUAUCAUCCUGGUGCCUCUCUGCUGCUUUGUGUAAUGCUAUUGCACAAGCCCGAGCAGCAAUAAGUGGUAUUAUAGGUUUAGAGUGUCAGCACCUCCAGUCUAUAACUGGUAUGAGUUUGUACACUCUGAAUUGCCAUCCAGAUGGAGGUGGAGAUACGGGUACCUGGGAACUCAUUCUGGGUUAAACCAUUACGAAAACAGUGAGAUAAAAUGGUUAUAAUUCCUACCGUGACUCAGCGAAUCUAAUUCAACGAAUAUUACAAACAGGAAGAUUUUAUAUUCCAUACAAAUUGCCUGACAGCAUUAUUAUUUAUAAAGCUAAAUUACUUAAAGGACCACUAUAGUGCCAGGAAAACAUACUCGUUUUCCUGGCACUAUAGUGCCCUGGGGGUGCCCCCACCCUCAGGGCCCCCCUCCCGCCGGGCUCUCAGAUGAGGAAGGGGUUAAACUUACCUCUUUCUCCAGCGCCGGGCGGGGAACUCUCCUCCUCCUCUCCGCCUCCUCUCCUCCUCCUUGGCUGAAUGAGCAUGUGCGGCAAGAGCCGCACGCGCAUUCAUCCAGUCUCAUAGGAAAGCAUUCACAGUGAGAAGCACAGUGAGAAGCACGCAAGCGCCUCUAGCGGCUGUCAAUGAGACAGCCACUAGAAGCUGGAUUAACC